GUAUUCAAACGCAAGCUGUAUAGCCUUUGCUUCGGCUGUAUGAAUUGUUGCUUCAUUUGGAAGUCGUGCAGAGAAAACGUCGUUUGUGAUUACUGCAGCAGCAGCGACUAUAUUUGGUCGUUUGAACCAUCUGUAUAGAUAUCAGUUGUAGUAUGUUUGGAUUGUUUUAUGUCGGAUAAUUUGUUUAAAAAUAACGGAAUUUGUUUCAGAUUUUUUAUAUUCAAGAAGUGAUGUGUCUACUGUGGGUUUUAGUGGUUUCCAUGGUGGUAUUUCAGAAAGUGAUGAGGGUUUUACGAUGUCCAAAGGCAAGCAUACACAUUCCUGCGACCGAACAAAGAACCCCACAGACAAUACUGAAACCAAACGGAACGUAACGCUUGUCCGCUAUAGUAGAGGAAUCGAAUUCACAUGGGCACCAAAUAGGAUCAAGAUGAACACAGCUGUAAGAAACGAAAAACAUUAGAUUAAAUUUUCACUCAAUGGAUAUGCAAUGUUUAUUGGGAAAUGAUAGAAUUGUUCUUUCUAGUAAUUAUUUUAAUUAUUGAUUGUAUAUUUUUUGACACUCCACUCGAGAAAUUUUCACUCAUAUGGAGAUGUCACCAUUGUCGGUAAAGGGGCUGUAAAAUUUAGGCCUAUAUAUGCUCAGCGCCUAUGGCCUUUGAGUUGGGAGGGAUCGCCUGCUGUGCCACGGGGCCUCGGUUUUUACGAUCUCAUCCGAAGAACCGUCCCAUUUAGUCGCCUCUUACGCACACUUAGAAUUUGUGAUCUGCGAUGGAAUGGAUCCAGAGGUGCAUAGUGGAAUACAUUAAAACUGCUAAUAAAACAUUAAAUACGG